CUCAUCUUUUUCUUAGCGCAGAGAUGCAUGCCAAUGCCAUCAAACUUAUUUUGAUCUUAAGCCGUAGUGCAGAUAUGAGGGCGUGAAGUAGGAGUGUGUGAGCCAAAGGAGCAGCAAUACAUUCGAAGAGAGCCUGAGGCAAAGUUGCAUCAGCCACAGAAACACCGUCUACUUGUAUUUGAGCGGCGAGAGCGGUGCUUUGUGCUUGCGUGCGUGGCUUCGCGGUUAGUGAAGUGAUGUGAGCGUUAAUUUAUCGUUCUUCUGCGUUUUCUUCGCGGUGGGUUUGGUAAGUACUGCCUACGAUCAAGUGGACGUUGUUGUUUGUGUUAGGCAUCAUUAUCGCUGUUGUAAAGUAUCCGUUAAGCCUUGGCGUAAGCCAUGUAAUUUGCUUCCUGUGAAUGAGUAGCUUGAUACUUAUUGGCACCGUUAAUAACGAUGUACUAGCUGAGCGUUGAUUAUAACUACACGUCACUAAUUGUCUCUCUUCUUUCAGCAGGUGAGUACCCAUAUCUCAGGUCUCAUCGUGGGACAGACAGCGUUGGAGCACCCCUUCGAGAAAAAGUAAAGUGAAGAUACUGUUUCCUAUGUGUUAGGGCGAUAGGCUAAGCGGCUAAUUUUCAUUGCCUUACAGAUACAAACUAUUUCUUUUGUUUUACAGGUACAUGCUAAUGAAUUAUCUAGUCUUUCCCAGAAUAGUAAUGCCGUUGUUAGUGCACUGUUGUGGCGACCAGAUGGAGCCACAUGCCAGUGAAGGGACAAUACUGAUGUCGGGUCAGCUGAUUUCAAAUGGGUUGCGUGGGAGAUGCAUUCACUCGUUUUGACUGUGCUGCUGGAUGUCCUGAAAAAAAAAUCGCAAAGACGCUAGACCAGUGGUUCCCAAUUUUUUUUUUUUUUUUUAAUCUUUACCCAUUUUUCAUAUAUGAUCCUCAUCCAUGGCCCCUUUCUCCCCCCACACCACAUCUCGUGACUACAGUGACUCUGUAGUCUUACAUUUAUUAAGAAAA